rnacentral:rRNA from 1 species
AGGACGAACGCUGGCGGCGUGCCUAACACAUGCAAGUCGAGCGGGGUUGAAGCGAGGGGUAACUCGAGUUUCUACCUAGCGGCGGACGGGUGAGUAACGCGUGGGCAACCUGCCUCAAGGACUGGGAUAACAGCUCGAAAGGGCUGCUAAUACCGGAUAAGCCCAUGGCCUCGCAUGGGGCCAUGAGCAAAGGGGAAACCCGCCUUGAGAUGGGCCCGCGUCCCAUCAGCUAGUUGGUGAGGUGAAGGCUCACCAAGGCGACGACGGGUAGCCGGCCUGAGAGGGUGACCGGCCACACUGGGACUGAGACACGGCCCAGACUCCUACGGGGGGCAGCAGUGGGGAAUCUUGCACAAUGGGCGAAAGCCUGAUGCAGCGACGCCGCGUGAGCGAAGAAGGCCUUCGGGUUGUAAAGCUCUGUCUGGAGGGACGAAGGAAGUGACGGUACCUCCGGAGGAAGCCACGGCUAACUACGUG